AUUGAACGCUGGCGGCAUGCCUUACACAUGCAAGUCGAACGGUAACAGGGAGCUUGCUCCGCUGACGAGUGGCGAACGGGUGAGUAAUGUACCGGAACGUACCUUUUAGUGGGGGAUAACGUAGCGAAAGUUACGCUAAUACCGCAUAUUCUCUGAGGAGGAAAGCAGGGGACCUUCGGGCCUUGCGCUAAUAGAGCGGCUGAUAUCAGAUUAGCUAGUUGGUGAGGUAAAGGCUCACCAAGGCGACGAUCUGUAGCGGGUCUGAGAGGAUGAUCCGCCACACUGGAACUGAGACACGGUCCAGACUCCUACGGGAGGCAGCAGUGGGGAAUUUUGGACAAUGGGGGCAACCCUGAUCCAGCCAUGCCGCGUGAGUGAAGAAGGCCUUCGGGUUGUAAAGCUCUUUCGGCCGGGAAAAAAUCGCAUGGGUUAAUACCCUGUGUGGAUGAUGGUACCGGAAUAAGAAGCACCGGCUAACUACGUGCCAGCAGCAGCCGCAG
rnacentral:rRNA from 1 species